rnacentral:rRNA from 1 species
GUGAGGAAUAUUGGUCAAUGGGCGCAAGCCUGAACCAGCCAUGCCGCGUGCAGGAAGACGGUCCUAUGGAUUGUAAACUGCUUUUAUUUGGGAAUAAACUCCGGUACGUGUACCGGCCUGAAGGUACCAAAUGAAUAAGCACCGGCUAACUCCGUGCCAGCAGCCGCGGUAAUACGGAGGGUGCAAGCGUUAUCCGGAAUCAUUGGGUUGAAAGGGUCCGCAGGCGGCCUUAUAAGUCAGUGGUGAAAGCCUACAGCUCAACUGUAGAACGGCCAUUGAUACUGUAGGACUUGAAUUCGAUCGAAGUGGGCGGAAUGUGACAUGUAGCGGUGAAAUGCUUAGAUAUGUCACAGAACACCGAUAGCGAAGGCAGCUCACUAGGUCUGGAUUGACGCUCAGGGACGAAAGCGUGGGGAGCAAACAGGAUUAGAAACCCUAGUAGUCC